UACGAAGGGGCGUAGCGUUGCUCGGAAUUACUGGGCGUAAAGGGAGCGUAGGCGGACAUUUAAGUCAGAGGUGAAAUCCCGGAGCUUAACUUCGGAACUGCCUUUGAUACUGGGUGUCUUGAGUGCGAGAGAGGUAUGUGGAACUCCGAGUGUAGAGGUGAAAUUCGUAGAUAUUCGGAAGAACACCAGUGGCGAAGGCGACAUACUGGCUCAUUACUGACGCUGAGGCUCGAAAGCGUGGGGAGC
rnacentral:rRNA from 1 species